AUACGGCCAUAACACAUUGAAGCAUUGGUUCUCGUACGAUCAUCGAAGUUAAGCAACCUCGAACCUGGUCAGCACAUGCAUGGGUGAACGCUUGGGAAUAUCAGGUUCUGUAAG